rnacentral:rRNA from 1 species
UACAGAGGUCUCAAGCGUUGUUCGGAUUCAUUGGGCGUAAAGGGUGCGUAGGCGGUCGGGUAAGUCUGACGUGAAAUCUUCAAGCUUAACUUGGAAACUGCGUCGGAUACUAUUCGGCUAGAGGAAUGGAGGGGAGACUGGAAUACUUGGUGUAGCAGUGAAAUGCGUAGAUAUCAAGUGGAACACCAGUGGCGAAGGCGAGUCUCUGGACAUUUCCUGACGCUGAGGCACGAAAGCCAGGGGAGCAAACGGG